AGGGCACCACCAGGAGUGGAGCCUGCGGCUUAAUUUGACUCAACACGGGGAACCUUACCCGGCCUGGACACUGGAAGGAUUGACAGAUUGAGAGCUCUUUCUUGAUUCAGUGGGUGGUGGUGCAUGGCCGUUCUUAGUUGGUGGAGCGAUUUGUCUGGUUAAUUCCGAUAUCGAACGAGACUCUAGCCUAUUAAAUAGGCUCCCGGCUUUUAAACGCCGGGAGGACUUCUUAGAGGGACAGGUGGCGGUUCAGCCGCACGAAAGAGAGCAAUAACAGGUCUGUGAUGCCCUUUGUUGUCCGGGGCCGCACGCGCGCUACACUGAAGAGAUCAGCGUGCUUUAUGUUCCUGCUCCGACCGGAGUGGGGAACCCAGUGAACCUUCUUCGUGAUUGGGAUAGAAGAUUGUAAUUAUUCUUCUUGAACGAGGAAUUCCCAGUAAAUGCGAGUCAUAAGCUCGCGUUGAUUACGUCCCUGCCCUUUGUACACACCGCCCGUCGCUACUACCGAUUGAACGAUUU
rnacentral:rRNA from 1 species